AAUAGAAUAAAAGGGAGUAGCACAGCUAAGGAAAAGGGGAAAAAAUGGCGGACUGCGUUGUUUGGCGACCUCCGUGAAAUGGGGUCCCGACCCACAGGUUGAGAACCACUGCUCUAUACAACUUCUCUAAAUGUGAACAUUGCUCAUGUGUGCUCAAAACCAUCCCCAAUGUUAGAGUCCUUGGUGCUGUCUGUUUGCUUGCAGAUGUUUCAUCACCCAAUUAGGUAACACUAACAAUGCGGUUCAGUGUGGAGUUCAUUCCUUGUUUAUAUUGAUUAGGGUAUUGCUUUCUGCUUGAUUGUUUGUUGGUGGUAAUCCAGGCUUCUCUGCGUAUGGGAAAUAUCAAGAAACCCACACCCUCACCAAAACUGGCAAGGCAAGUUACUCUGUAUUAAUGGAGCAAAUCCACACUAAUCCACUUCCCAAAUUUAUCCAUGAGCUUACAGGUAUUUUGUUCUAUUGCAGACAUGUUAAACUCACAACGUCACGUGACGUCACGCAACGUAUUGGGACGGUUUUGCCAUUGCCGGCAAUGGGGUGGGCGCAGCUUCCGAAUGAUGCGUCCAGCCCAUGGGCCGGCAGUUUGACACCCCUGUUCUAUUGGAAUUAUCCCAAAUUAAUAUUUGUAGACAUUUUGCUCCCAGCUUAAUUCUUGACAUUUGGCCCAAAUCAUUUGACUGUUGGCCCAAAUCAUUUGACUGCCAAGUGGAACUAUUCUUUUUUCAUGGUCCAUCCUAGUGUUUCUCAGCCUGUUAGCUGGGGAAUUCGAUGAGUUGAAGUCUGUGAGUUAAGCCUUCAAGGCUGAGAAGCGCAGAGGCUCAUAUGAGGAUGAUUAGCUUAUUAAAGAGAUGGCUAAAUUGGGUAUGGUUAACUGUUAAGCCUCUUCUCUUGUGAACCAUACAAUGUUACUUUCUCAGAACCAUUGAGUUACUAUUCUGUUGCAAUACACAGGAAGAGGGAUUUAAAUUGAUGCUGGAAGUGGAUGAAAGUAAAGAUAGUUCCUCCUACCAAUCCUGGGGGGUUGGUUGGGGAGGUUACCAAUCUUGGGAUUAUGAUUAGCUUGGAGGAAUGUGAUACACAGGGUAUACCAAAAGUCAGGUCCCAUAGGCUAUUUGCAAUAUUUUUUUUCUUGGAGAAAAUGUUACUAUAGUACUGGUAAUGUUCACAAGUCAUGCAUCAGACAAAUGAUAAUAAGAAAAUGGCAAUCAAUUUGAACAUUUAAUUUAAUUUAUAUAUACAUUUUAUAUCAGGCCAAGCUUUGGGUACAAUAAUGUCUACAUGGAUUAUGUGUGUGAAAGCACAGCUAUAGCAAUAGCAUUUAGACUUAUAUACCACUUCACAGUGCUUUAUAGCCCUCUCUAAGCAGUUUACAAAGUCAGCAUAUUGCCCCCAGCAAUCUGGGUUCUCAUUUUACCGACCUCGGAAGGAUGAAAGGCUGAGUCAACCUGAGCCCCAUCAGAAUUGAACUCAAGAUCAAAAUUUGUGAGUAGAGUGCCUGCAAUACUGCAUUCUAGCCACUGUACAAUGGGGCCAUAGGCUGUAUUUUGUGUGUGGGAAACCUGCGUGGGUGUGGGAGAGAAAAUGAGGAUGUGCAAAGGCUUUGUGCGUGUGAGCAUAGAAGUACAUUCAUUAGCCAGCAAGUAGGCAUUAGCUAUUUCCACAAAUCCAGAUCUUAAAUACUAGAUAUGCUGGAUUUGUUUUUUACACAUUUUCAGGCUAUUUUAACAGCAUUUCUUGGAAUGAAGAUUUUGAUGCUGCUUGUGGAAUUUCCAUCAAUUGGUAUUGCUAUUCCUUAGUUACUAAACUGAGGGGGAAAGUGACAUUGUAUUUGGUUAUAUAUCCUGCUUGUGCAAGAAUGUGGCUUUAUGCCAAGCAAAGAUUAUGCAGAACAGAUUUUUGCUAUUCAGCAGAUUAUUAUGAAAUGAAUGAAUGUGCGAAAGUUAGUAGCGGAAUAUAGGCAAUGCCUGGGUUAAGAAUAUCUGACUUACAACCUAUACUUAUGAAUGGACUGCCAUAAAUUAAAAAUGUGAGUUAAAUGCAAUGGUUCGUAAUAACAAACACACUCCUUUGUAACCCUCAUGGAAACAUUGUGUGGCUUCAGCAGAGGAAGGAGAACACAGUCUGCCAUUUUGAAGAAAAUGAAUUCUCUUGGAAAGGAAGCUAGAGUGACAGAAUUUAUUAGAUUUUCAAAAGGAGGUAAGUUUAAAGAAGAAAAGUCAAGUUAUACAUAAAGAGGUAUACAUAAAGAAACAAGGAUGAUUAGAGAUAAUACGGAAUGGUUUAGGUCAGGGGUAGGCAACCUUGGCUCUUUUAUGACUUAUGGACUUCAACUCCCAGGAAUUCUGGGAGUUGAAGUCUACGAGUCAUAAAAGAGCCAAGGUUGCCUACCCCUGGAUAGGUACUGUAUACAUGAGAUUUAGCUGCAUUUUUGUUUUCUUACCUCACACCUUUAAUAUCUUUGGCUUACUACUAUUCCUUUUCUGCACUGUAAUAACACUGCUUAUCUCCAGAAGGAAAUACAGUAGCCUGAUGGGUAUAUACAUACAUAAAUCUUUGCCCUUCUUUACCCUGGGUGUAUUAUUGUUCUCCACCAAAUCUAUAUUGCCCUAAACACUGAAUCUUUCCAGCGACCUGCUUGACAUAGGUUGUUUCUUUUAAUGUAAUGCCUUCAGUUUAAUUAUGCUGACUUGUAAACAGUACUUAGGCUACCUGGUUUUUAAAUACCCUUCAAUCCAUUCAGGCAAAAGGUGCAAGCUUUAGCCGAAUUGAUAGGUCUUGUUCCCGUACCACUGACUAGGACCAUGUUCAACCACAAUACUCUUCCCCCACUAUAGCCUUCUGUUUAAAUCUUUCCACUAGGUUUGCAGAACUGGAAGCCUGCCAACUGACUGACCCUCUUCCAAAUGCGGUACUAUAUUGUGCAAUUUUUAAAAGCUUGAAUUCCUUUUAAAAGAAAAAAAAAUCCCCUGAUUGAAGAUUGCACCCACCGACACUGAUAGAACUACCAGGGAGAACCCAAACUAUUCAAUUCCCACUUCAGGCUCAGUUGACGAUUACAAAAGCUGGAAGCAUUUGUAAGCAAACCAUGCAGAUGUCUGAAAUUCUGAGAACGCAUUUAUUUUUCAUUAAUGAAAAAAGAGGGGAAAUUCACAGUCAACGCAACAACCUGUUUUCCGAAACUGAGAUAAUCUGUGGAUUCCCCUUGUAUUGAAUAUUGUUCAUCUGCCCUCCAUUGUUACAGACUGUGUUUAAUCUCCCUAACCAAGAGGCGAACCAAGUUCAAAACUGCCUUUAGUGACUGAAUUGAGUAACUGUGGACCAGUCAUUCAUUCUCAACCCAGUGAAUAUCACAAGCUUGUAGUUAGGGGAAAAUGCCAAAGAAGGAACAUUAUGUGCACCACCUAAUAUCUUUGCUGGAGCGCAGCAUGUAAACUAAAAAUAAAAUAAUAAUUAUAAACAUGGCUAUGUAGCUGUCAUAAAUUCAUAAAUGCAGCAAUAAAACACUCAAGAUAAUGUAAAA